GAUGAACGCUGGCGGCGUGCUUAACACAUGCAAGUCGAACGAGGUCCAUGGAGCUUGCUCCGGACGACCUAGUGGCGAACGGGUGCGUAACACGUGAGAAACCUGCCCCGAUCUCUGGGAUAACAGUUGGAAACGACUGCUAAUACCGGAUGCCGUCACACCGCUACAUGGCGGAGUGCCGAAAGAUUCAUCGGAUCGGGAGGUCUCGCGGCCUAUCAGCUAGUUGGAGAGGUAACGGCUCACCAAGGCAUCGACGGGUAGCUGGUCUGAGAGGAUGAUCAGCCACACUGGGACUGGAGACACGGCCCAGACCACCUACGGGUGGCUG
rnacentral:rRNA from 1 species